rnacentral:lncRNA from 10 species
GACAGCACCUUGUCUCAUUUGAACAAGACAUCUGGAGCCUGGAGAUCCCAGGGCUGAUAUGGCAACAGUGCGAUGCCCCCCAUGGAUAUGGGGUCGUUCCAUGUUUCUUCCCUGCCUUCCUCAGCAUGUUAACCUUUCAGCUUCACAUCCGCAUCCUCAUGGUCACAAGAUGGCUGACAAGCUCCAGCUCUCCCAUCCCUAGAAAGACUUCAGCUGGCAAAGCAACGCAAAUGGCUGAGCGUCGAGGAUAGAAGUGGCUGAACAGCGAGCAGAGAAGCAACUGAGCAUCGGAGGUUGGAGAUAGAUGCAGCUAACUUCAGAUACUGUGGUUUUAGAGAGGGGCCUGGCCAGAGACGGCUGGGUUCCAGGGA